rnacentral:rRNA from 1 species
UACGUAGGGUGCAAGCGUUGUCCGGAAUUAUUGGGCGUAAAGAGCUCGUAGGCGGUUUGUCGCGUCUGCUGUGAAAUCCCGAGGCUCAACCUCGGGCCUGCAGUGGGUACGGGCAAACUAGAGUGCGGUAGGGGAGAUUGGAAUUCCUGGUGUAGCGGUGGAAUGCGCAGAUAUCAGGAGGAACACCGAUGGCGAAGGCAGAUCUCUGGGCCGUAACUGACGCUGAGGAACGAAAGCGUGGGGAGCGAACAGG